rnacentral:rRNA from 1 species
GACAGAGGGUGCAAACGUUGUUCGGAAUUACUGGGCGUAAAGGGCGCGUAGGCGGCCACCGCAAGUCGGUUGUGAAAUCUCCGGGCUUAACCCGGAAAGGUCAACCGAUACUGCGGGGCUAGAGUGCAGAAGGGGCAACUGGAAUUCUCGGUGUAGCGGUGAAAUGCGUAGAUAUCGAGAGGAACACCUGCGGCGAAGGCGGGUUGCUGGGCUGACACUGACGCUGAUGCGCGAAAGCUAGGGGAGCGAACGGG